rnacentral:lncRNA from 1 species
UGUAAACUAAAACCCAAUAUGAGGCUAGAGCUAAAUCAGGUGAGGAGCUAAUUUUCUUCUUCACCUACACUCGACCAUAAUCUAGAUCUCCUCCCCACAUAAGACUGAAAUUAUACACAAUUAGAUACACACUAAUAUCAAUUCAAUAAUGAACACAAAAACCCAGUCAAACACACACAUGAACAAAUUGAUGAACUACCUUACACAUGUAAAUACCCAGAUUGAGUUGCUACUUUCUCAUUCCAAAAGCAACAUUUUCUAGGAGGACAACAAAAAGCAUCCACCCUUUGGGGUUCCACGAUAUCAUGUUAGAACAAAAUCAUCAAAAUACUUUCAAAGAUAACAAAAGGAGGAGGAGAAAACGAGGACUUCGUGGAGGUGGUACUGAGGCGACGACGUCGAAGAAGAGGACCAGAUUCGACGACGAUGUGCGUGGUCUACCACUGAACUUCGUCGAUUCGAGGUCUGCAUGCUCGGCGAGCUUAUCAGAGCUCACUUCGGCGCCAGCGAGAGAGAGAGAGAGAGAGAGAGAGAGAGAGAGCGGCGAGAGCGAGAUAGAAAAAGAGAUCUGGUAUAUAUUUCCAAAGUGAAAACGGCGAAGCGCUAGCAAUAGAGUUUCUCCAAGUCUCUAACCUAGUUCAAGAGAUAACAGAUAAUGACCACACAACGUACAUAUUGUCACGGGAUGAGAACUUUGCUCCUCUACCAACCGUGCGGCCUUAGAGUUGUUCACCUCCUCGAACUCUCUAAGUCAGCCUCGCCUUCACGCAACGGAAACAAGAGCAACAUAAGAGAGCAAGAAUACUAGAAGUAGACUAAGUGUGCAAGACUAAGCAAAGCAAACACUUAGACAAUGUGGGAGAAAAGAACUUUGUAUUAAGUUAUGAACACUUACAAGACUUUCCAAGAUGGUUUGGCUAAGAGCCUUCACCACCUAUUAGCACCUCCUCAAUGGAUGGCUAGGAUUCUUUUGAUCCUAUGGCUAUAAUUACAUGUUCUAGAAUGCACUCAAACUAUCUACAAGAAAGUAUCUAGGCUAGGGAAUUCUAAAGUGUUCUAGAAUUCUCUAGAUAGGUCCACCAUGCUCUUGAAUGUUGAAGUGCUUCUCCUUGCAUGAUGGACUUGGGCUUGUGUCAUGGACUUACUUCACUCAAACUUAGUUCAUGACAUUCUCCCCCACUCAAGUCGGCGACUUCCUCGUCGCCCUUGCGAGCUCCUCUUGCUCGAACUCGGCUAUCUUGUCCUUGAAUUGCCACAAGGACUCCUCUUUCUCCCAACUAGCCUCGGACGCGGGCAGCCCCUUCCAUUUGAUAAAGUAUUCGGUAUACCUCGGUAUCCGCUUCUUCCGCACCUCGCGCUUGGCUUCAAUACUAUCCACUUCUUUGUCAAAUGAAGUGAUCAUAUAAGCGGGAGCUCGAUGGGACUUACCUCGUUCGGGUGCUUCGGCAUCUUCAUGAUAAGGCUUCAAGUGACUUACAUGAAACACCGGAUGAAGCUUGGUGUUAGAAGGUAGUUCCACUAGAUAUGCUGUUUUGCCUACCUUCUUGAGGAUCGGAAAGGGACCUUCAUACUUCCGUAGCAAACUCUUGUGAAGUCCCUUGUUCGCCUUGUGUUGUGUUGGAAUAACUUUCACAAACACCAAGUCACCUGUUUGGAACUCAAAGUGUCGCCUUUGCCGGUCCGCAUACUUCUUCAUCUUCUUUGAAGCCUUCUCUAGUUGCGAACGAGCGAGCUCAUUGGCUUGCUGCCACUCCUUGGCUGUUUUAUAUGCAGCGGGGCUACUUCCCGUGUAGCCGGUCACCAAUGUGCUUGGAGUCAAGGGUUGUUGUCCGGUUGCUAGCUUGAACGGACUUGCUCCGGUCGACUCGGACCGUUGUAAGUUAUAAGAGAAUUGGGCGACAUCAAGCAACUUUGCCCAAUCCUUUUGGUUGGUACUCACAUAAUGCCUUAAGUAUAGCUCCAACAAGGCAUUCACGCGCUCCGUUUGCCCAUCGGUUUGCGGAUGAAAGGCCGUGGAGAAGUUUAACUUUGCCCCAAGUAACUUGAAGAGUUCCCUCCAAAACCUUCCGGUGAACCGAGCAUCUCGAUCGCUAACUAUGCUCCUUGGAACUCCCCAAUACUUCACCACAUGCUUGAGGAAUAAGCAUGCCGCUACCUCCACGGUACACUCCACGGGUGCCGGGAUGAAGGUGGCAUACUUGGUGAAUCGAUCUACCACAACGAAGAUGGAUCCACAACCAUCGGACUUGGGUAGAUUGGUGAUGAAGUCCAUACUUAAACUUUCCCACGGUCUUGAUGGAAUGGGAAGGGGUUCCAACAACUCUCCCGGAUGCUUUUGCUCCACCUUGUCUUGUUGGCACACAAGGCAAGUCUUCACAUAUGCAUCCACAUCAUCCCGCAUUUGUGGCCAAUAGUAGGUGUCGCUAAGCAAUGCCAAAGUGCGAUGAGUGCCGGGGUGUCCCGCCCACUUUGAGUCGUGGCAUUCCUUCAAUAUCUCCCUCCUCAAGUUGUCCCAUUUCGGAAGAUAGAGCCGCUUCCCUGUUGUGUAAAGCAACUCGUCCUCGAGCAAAAAUCGCCUUGUCGUUCCACUCUUGACAAGCUCCACCAAGUUUUUGGCUUGAGAGUCAUGGGAUAGUCCCUCCUUGAUUCUUCCCAUGAGAUUGCUUUGAGGUGUAAGCAUGACGGGUGCUAGCUCGGCUUUCCGGCUUAAGGCGUCCGCUACCACGUUCUCCUUGCCUUGCUUGUAUUCCAACUUGUAGUUGAACUCGGCAAGGAACUCUUGCUACCUCGCUUGCUUAGGGGUAAGCUUUUGCUGCGUUUGGAAGUAGCUUGUGGCGACAUUGUCGGUUCGGACUAUGAAAUGGGAACCAAGCAAGUAGUGCCUCCAAGUGCGCAAGCAAUGAACUAUGGCCGUCAUCUCCUUCUCAUGCACCGAGUAUCGUCUCUCGGUGUCAUUGAGCUUGCGGCUUUCAAAUGCUACCGGAUGCCCUUCUUGUAUAAGUACACCGCCAAUGGCAAAGUUUGACGCAUCGGUGUGUACCUCAAAUGGCUUGCUAAGGUCCGGGAGCCUUAGCACGGGUUCCUCCAUCAAAGCCUUCUUCAAGUCUUCAAAGGCUUGUUGGCAUCGGUCCGUCCACUCCCAUGUCUUGUUUUUCUUCAAGAGGUCCGUCAAAGGUGCGGCAAUGGCGGAGUAUCCUUUGAUGAACCUUCGAUAAUAAUUAACCAAGCCAAGGAAAGAUCGAAAUGCGGGUACCUUGGUUGGUGGCUCCCAAUCUUGGAUGGCCUUCACCUUGCUUUCCUCCAUCAAGAGCUUUCCAUCCUUGAUCUUGUGGCCUAGGAAGUCCACUUCCUCCUUGGCAAAGGAACAUUUCUCCUUCUUCACAUAGAGUUCGUUCUCCAUAAGGGUUUGGAACACUAUGCGAAGGUGCUCGACAUGCUCCUCCAAGGUUUUGCUAUAGACCACAAUGUCAUCGAUAUAAACUACCACGAACUUAUCAAGGUAAGGAUGGAAUACCUUGUUCAUCAAGGUGCAAAAAGUUGCCGGGGCAUUGGUGAGACCGAAUGGCAUGACUAAGAAUUCGAACGAUCCGUAUCUUGUUACACACGCGGUCUUCAGUUCAUCUCUGGGUGCAAUCCUUACUUGAUAGUAUCCCGAGCGAAGAUCUAGCUUGGUGAAAUAUCUUGCUCCUCCCAAUUGAUCAAAAAGUUCGGCAAUCAAAGGGAUGAGAUACUUGUUCUUGAUGGUGAUCUUGUUAAGCGCCCAGUAGUCGAUGCACAUCCUUAAUGAGCCUUCCUUCUUCCUUUGAAACAAGAUGGGGGCGCAGUAUGGACUCUUGGAUGGUUGAAUGUAGCCGGCAUCAAGCAACUCCUUAAGUUGCUUCCGGAGCUCCUCUAGCUCGGGCGGCGCCAUUCUAUAGGGAGACCUUGAUGGUGGCUUUGCUCCGGGUUCCAACUCAAUGGCAUGAUCCACCUCCCUCCUUGGUGGCAGCCUCUUCGGCAAUUCCUUGGGCAUUACAUCUCCAAACUCCUCAAGGAUUGCGUCUAUUGCCUUUGGCAAAGGUUCGGACUUUCCUCCAACCUCUUCGUCCAUCUUGAAGGUUGCUAGGAAUGUAGGCUCGCCCUUUUUCCAAGCUUUGGCGAGUUGCAUGGAGGAUAGAAUCUUUGUCUUCUCCCUUGCUUGCCUCGCCACGGGCACCACGCAAGGUAAUUCUCCAUCCGCGACAAUGCAAAAGAUGUUAUAGAAUGGAAUGGGAAAUGCUCGUACCUUGUCCAUAAAUUCAAGGCCGAUUACCACGCCAUAGUCAUCCAUCUUGACUACGGUGAAAUCAACUUUCCCCUUCCAAGCGCCGAUGUGAACCUCCACAUCGCGUGCUACUCCAACAAUGGGUGUGGCCGGUGUAUUCACCAUCUUCACGCUGCCCGACUCCUUCGUGACUCGGAGGCCAAGCUUCCUUGCUUCUUCCGACGUCAUAAAGUUAUGAGUUGCUCCGCAAUCCACCAAGGCACGAAUCAUCAUGUCUUUUACUUUGACAUCGAUGUAAAGCGAUCCACCUUCCGCUUAUCGCCUUGGUUGAGGGACGCUAGCCUUCACGGUAUUGAGCAGCCGGAUGCAUCCCAUCCUUGCUGCAUCAUCUUCCUCCGCCUCGAUCCUAGGCUCUUGCAAGGUCAUGGCUUUGAGUGCUUUCUUUUGAGGGCAAUCGCGCAUCAUGUGAGGGCCGUCGCAUAAGUAGCACUUCAUUUCCCAAGUCUUGUUUACGAACUUGUCGUGCUUCUCGAACCUCAUCACUUUCGGCUUGUAGCUUGACUCAGGCUUCUCCUUCGGCUUUGGCACGUCUCCCCCACUUUUCUCAUAGUUAACCUUCUUCCCCUUGAACUUGGUGUCACCUUGGUGACUAGCUUUGAAUUCAAUAAGGGACUCGGCGGCGGCAAUGACUUGUGACAAGGUUUGCACUUGUCUUCUUUGCAACUCAAGCUUUGCCCAACUUUGUAAUCCACUCAUGAAGUAAAUGAGCUUGUCCUCCUUCGUCAUGUUGGGCACCUCGAAUAGCAAGUUGACAUAAUCCUUGACGCUACCCGUUUGCUUUAGCCACCGAAGCUUCUCCUUGGCUUCAUAUUGAGCAUUUUGGGGAUAGAAAUGUAACUUGAUAUCAUUCUUGAAUUCUUCCCAAGUAUCAAGAGAGAACGUACCUUGCUCGAUUUCCAUGCUCCUUCGACGCCACCACAUAAGGGCAUUGACGGCUAGGAACAUGGUAGCCGUUGAAAUUUUGGACUCGUCAUCCUCAAGCUUUAGAUACUUGAAGUACCUUUCCAUGUUCCAUAGAAAGUGGUCAAGCUCUUUAGCUUCCCUCUUCCCACUAAAGGAUUUGGGUUUGAAGGAGUCCAAUGCCUUCGUCUCCUUUGGCCCUUGCGACUUGUUAAGUGCAGCCUCUUUGCAUAGCGCCCAAUCUCCCUUGACCUCCUUCACUUCCUCUCAGAGGGCUGUGAGCUCAGCGGACAUUUGAUCAAGCUUAUCUCGGACCUCCCCUCGGAUCCUAUCUGCCAUAAUGUUGAGAGUGCCGUGUAUUUACUCUCGCAACUCUUCCACCAUGGCUGCAAGAUCCCCCUUUAUCACGACGUCAUCGUUAAGUCGAGUGUCAAACUCGACCACGGCCGAUUCCACCUUUCUGAGCCGUGCAUCAAAGGCAAUAAGUACUUCCUUGUGGCUCCUCUUGGCGCCAACAACAGCUUGCUCCACCGAAACUCCUUCUCCGGACAUCUUCCUUCUCUUUGUGUCGUGCAUGAGCAACUAGGCUCUGAUACCACUUGUCACGGGAUGAGAACUUCGCUCCUCUACCAACCGUGCGGCCUUAGAGUUGUUCACCUCCUCGAACUCUCUAAGUCAGCCUCGCCUUCACGCAACAGAAACAAGAGCAACACAAGAGAGCAAGAAUGCUAGAAGUAGACUAAGUGUGCAAGACUAAGCAAAGCAAACACUUAGACAAUGUGGGAGAAAAGAACUUUGUAUUAAGCUAUGAACACUUACAAGCCUUUCCAAGAUGGUUUGGCUAAGAGCCUUCACCACCUAUUUAUAGCCUAGCACCUCCUCAAUGGAUGGCUAGGAUUCAUUUGAUCCUAUGGCUAUAAUUACAUGUUCUAGAAUGCACUCAAACUAUCUACAAGAAAGUAUCUAUGGGGAACUAUACUAUCGCAUGGGUCAACUGUAUUUACGCCUGUACUUCCUUAUGAUUCUCUAUGGGGAACUAUACUAUCGAUUUGAAAACGUGACCGAAUUUUCACAUGGAUUAGUUUCGCCAAUACCAAAAGAGAGUUUGAGUUUUGAUGAAUUGAAUAUAUAAGUUUUGGGUAGACUAGAUAAGAGCGUUUUCUAUUUUAAUAAUUGUGUUGACUUUUUCAAGUAUUAAUCAGACAACAUGUAUAUGUAAUAUGACUUUAUUGAAGAAUGAUCGAAUUAACGUUGACUGCAUCGACCGAGACCCGAACAUUAUCGAAAAUGUCUA